AUGUACAUUCUCCAUGUACGUAUCCUCUCCUUCUCUCACAUUCACGUUCUCUUGUCCGUUGCGCGCUUCCCACUUCCUGCUUGGUCGCUAGCUUCUUCCCUCCCGCGAGCGAGGUCCACUCCACUAGCUCCAAUGGCGGCCGCUUCUUCCAGCUCUGCUCGCGGGCACCACCUUCUUCUCCGCCUCCUCGCGCUUCUCGCCGUCGCUGGCAAUGCUGUCGCCGCCGGCAGCGGCGCCGUCGUUGGGAAGAAGAGCGCGGCGCUGUCGCUGCGUGAGUUGGAGUGGGGUGCUGCUGCGAGGAAGAUCCAGGGCGGCCGCUACGAGCAACAAAGCAAGGCUCAGAUCCUAGGAGAGCACAGGAAAGCAGAGGGAGCAAGCAGAGCAACCACCGUGCUAGAGCUGAAGCAUCAUUCCCCGGCCACCAUCUCCAACCAGCCCGCCGGCAGCGAAGGAUACCUCAGCCGACUCCUCGCCGCCGAUGCUGCUCGUGCUGCCUCGUUGCUGCUCCCCAGGGCAGCGUCCAUACAGUCCCGCCAGGCGGCGGCCCAGGUCCCGCUGACAUCUGGCAUUCGCUUCCAGACACUCAACUACGUCACCACCAUCGCGCUCGGCGGCGACUCCUCCGGCGCCGCCGCCAAACUCAACGUCAUCGUGGACACCGGCAGCGACCUCACCUGGGUGCAGUGCAAGCCCUGCCGUGCCUGCUACGAGCAGCGGGACCCACUCUUCGACCCAGCUAGCUCCGCCACCUACGCCGCCGUCCCGUGCAACGCCUCCGCCUGCGCGGCCUCGCUGAAGGAGGCCACGGGCGCGCCCGGAUUCUGUGCCAGAGGCGGCGGCAGCGGAAGCGAGAGAUGCUACUACGCGCUAGGCUACGGCGACGGGUCGUUCAGCCGCGGCGUGCUGGCCACGGACACGGUCGGCCUCGGCGGCGCCAACCUCGACGGCUUCGUCUUUGGCUGCGGGCUCAGCAACCACGGCCUGUUCGGUGGCACAGCGGGGCUCAUGGGCCUCGGCCGGACCGAACUGUCGCUGGUCUCCCAGACGGCAUCCCGGUUCGGCGGCGUGUUCUCCUACUGUUUGCCGGCGACCACCUCCGGCGACUCCACGGGGUCCCUCUCCUUGGGGAGUGACUCAUCCUCCUACCGCAACACGACGCCCGUGGCAUACACCCGCAUGAUCGCAGACCCGGCGCAGCCCCCGUUCUACUUCAUGAACGUCACGGGCGCGUCCGUCGGAGGCGCCGCGGUGACCGCGUCGGGGCUCGGCGCCAGCAACGUGCUCAUCGACUCGGGCACGGUGAUCUCGCGGCUGGCGCCGUCCGUGUACCGCGCCGUGCGCGCCGAGUUCGCGCGCCAGUUCACCGCCGCGGGGUACCCCGCCGCGCCGGGGUUCUCGCUCCUCGACACGUGCUACAACCUCACGGGCCACGACGAGGUGAACGUGCCGCUGCUCACGCUGCGGCUCGAGGGCGGGGCCGACGUGACCGUGGAGGCCGCCGGGAUGCUGUUCAUGGCCAAGAAGAACGGGUCUCAGGUGUGCCUGGCGAUGGCGAGCCUUGCAUACGAAGACCAGACGCCUAUCAUAGGGAACUACCAGCAGAAGAACAAGAGGGUGGUGUAUGACACGGUGCGCUCAGGGCUAGGUUUUGCUGACGAGGACUGCAGCUACAAUAUGUAA
rnacentral:rRNA from 1 species